AUGCAGUCGAGCGAGAAAGCCCCUUCGGGGGUUAGUAAAGCGGCGGACGGGUGAGUAACACGUGAGCGAUCUACCCAAGGGUGGGGGACAACUCAGGGAAACUUGAGCUAAUACCGCGUACAGCGCCGGCUUGGAAGCCUGGCGUGAAAGCUGGCCUCUACUUGUAAGCUAGCGCCUUUGGAUGAGCUCGCGGCCUAUCAGCUUGUUGGUGGGGUAAUGGCCUACCAAGGCGAUGACGGGUAGCUGGCGUGAGAGCGCGACCAGCCACACUGGGACUGAGACACGGCCCAGACUCCUACGGGAGGCAGCAGUGGGGAAUAUUGCGCAAUGGGCGAAAGCCUGACGCAGCGACGCCGCGUGGGGGAGGAAGGCCUCAGGGUUGUAAACCCCUGUCAGGUGGGAGAAACCCGUAGUGUCUAAUAGCCAUUACGAUUGACGGUACCACCAGAGGAAGCUCCGGCUAACUCCGUGCCAGCAGCCGCGGUAAUACGGGGGGAGCAAGCGUUGUUCGGAAUUACUGGGCGUAAAGGGCGCGUAGGCGGCCAGGUCAGUCGCAUGUGAAAGGCCGGGGCUCAACCCCGAGCACUGCAUGCGAUACUGCCUGGCUCGAGAGAGGU
rnacentral:rRNA from 1 species